rnacentral:misc_RNA from 1 species
CUCUCUCUCUCUCUCUCUCACUCACUCUCUCGUCUCUGCAACGGAUUUGAUCAAUCACAGUUCAUUCCUUCUGCUACUUUCAAAAUCCAGGGUUUGAUUCCUUCUCUAUACUCUUCCGAUGGCGAAAUCUAAAGAAGAAGAAGAAGAGAAACCAGACGGUCUUGAAAUAAUUUCAAUUGGAUCUCUAUACAGUGGACCCUGGGACAAGAAGUACUGGAGCUCUUCUAGGGGUAAAGAUCGGUAUCCUUACCCUUUGGGAUAUGAUGCUCGUCGAGCUUUUAAUGGGAGCACCUAUAAGAUGGAAAUUCAGGAAGGUUCUAAAGGACCAUUAUUUGUGAUUACUUCUGCUGAUGGACAUUUGUGUUCUGGUCAAACACCUGAUAUUGCUUGGGAGAAAUUUCAGAAGAAAGGUUGCUUGCGCAUGAAGAUCUGGCAUGGCAAAAGAUUUUCUUGCAAGAUAGAUGGCAUAGAGUUCUUUGGGUUCAGAAAUCCAUUUGUCCAGAGGUUACUACGGGAGCUGGUGGCAAAUGUCAAUGGAAUAGCAGAACGUAGUCUAUUAUCUUCUAGCUUCUGCAAUGGGGCUUCCAGUAUGGAUGACAAUAAUCAAUACCAAGAUGCACUCACAUGUUCUGAUGUUUUACCACAUUUGGCAAGACCGCAGGUUAUAGGGAAAAGAAAUAAGAAACGUGAAAUUGUAAAUUCUAAGUCAUUAAGUAUUGAUGGUUUUAAAAGACCGCGAACUGGAGAUCCAAUAUUUAAUGGUGAGCCAUCAAAUUCAACACAUAGGAAUCAUAAGCAAAGUAGUUCCUCGCCUUGCUCUGAUUUUAGUUUUCAUGAGAAGUGCGGCUCUUGCACACUUCCAGGAGCAUUGCCAGUAGAAGUGCAGUUAAAAUGCAUAACUGGAGAAGCAAAUAAUCACAUUUCAGCUGAAGAUGGUUUGCAUUUGAAGCCUGUUGACUACACUGAUCAUAUUAGGGGGAAAGCUCUCCCAGUUCAUGAAGAUCUUGCUAGUUCUGAAAAUAAUAAAUCCACUAGAGUAGUCAUGAAUUCCUUUGCAGAAGAAAGACCUCUUGAUAGGUUGCAAAAUACUGAAGUGGAAGGGUUGAAUUUUCCAGCAUCAUCUGAAUUCAAAGAUGUAGAUGGACCAUGUUCAGGAGAAUCUCAAAGUGUCCACAAUGUUGAUCUUUGUGCUCCUGAUACAUUAGAUUUUGUGCAAGAUGAUACUACAAAUUCUGCUCCAAGUACCUUGGAUAAAAUUGCUUGUGGCAUCAAAGAAGAAUCAAUGACAGCUGAUGUGGUUGUUUGUGAAGAAUUGGUUAACAAGUCACAUUCUGAAGAAGAAACAGGCACUUCUAAUUCAAACAUGAGUUCGGAAAAGGCUGAUUUUGAUUCAGUUGGUCAAGAUAUAGCCAAGUCAAUGAUGACAGUUCUGCUUCCACAAGCUAUUCCUCUGCUCAAAAAAACCUCAAGCAAGAAAAAGAAAACCAUUAUUCCUUCAGGGAACUUGCCUCCUACACCUAAGCCCCAUGAAGAAAAAAGAGACAUGGGAUUUUUUGUAGAUGCUCAAUCUAAUGGUGUAGAUCAAUCAAUUUUUCAAAGUUCUGAAAAUACCAAGACUGUAGUUCUUCAAAAGUUUGAUGAUGAUCAAUUUGUGGAUCAUGUAAUGAAUCAACUAAUAUUGCCUUCCAACAAUGUGGAAGCUGAUCAACGUAGUUUUGAUGAAAAUAAUGGUGGGGAACAGUUUGUUAAUGUCGAUGUGGAGUCAUCAUGGUUUCUUCAUGUUGAGACUAGUGGGAAUAGAGAUGUCUCCCUUGAUGAUAAAAUGCAAUUGAAUUUGAGUAAAAGGCCUCAGGAUAGUCAUGUAUGCUUAACUGCGUCUAUUUUAGGUUGCACGCCUGCCAGCGAGAAAGUUCUCACUGAAGUAAACCAGGAUGUUUGCAAAAAUGUGGAUGAAAACUCAUUCGGUGCUGAGAUCAAUUCUGAGAAGAUCCUCAAAUAUUCAUCUGAUUGUAACGAAGGUGCAAGUGAUGCUAGUGUGGAAGCCUUGGGGUGUUCUAUGAUGAAGGACGCUGUUGUUGAGGCUGGGGCUUCUGAAAUCGGCAACUUAUCCAGUAGUCAACUCCCAAAAAAAGUAUACACCAGAAAAAAGGUCCCAAAUACAAAACCUACUGCAAGAAAACAUAAUCCUUCACUUUUAGAAAGAGUAAUAUGCAGAAAACUUGUAGAUGGUUGUGUCCCAGAAUCUACAGGAGCUUUGCUUGAUUCAGAGCCGUUCCAUAUGAGCUCUUCUGUUGAUGAACCCCGAGAAAUUCUUUUGGGUGCUGAUACCAGGGUUGUAGGCCGACUCCUUGAUAUGCACACAGAUGAAACCACUAUAAUUUCCAACCCUGUAUUAGACAGUCAGGCACCUUUUAUGUUGCAAAAUCAAAUAGUUCCCUGUGCCUCAGAAGGCCAGGAUACAUCAAUUCUUUUUGUUCCACCUUUAUCAUGUGUAGAAAAAGCCCAAGACGUUUUUGAAGAGAGGCUGAUAGGGGUUGAGAAUACUUCAGAUGUUAAUAGUCCUACAUCUCAGAAACAAGGAACAGGGUUUUGCCUCAAUAAGACACCCAUUGCCAAGGAAGUUCAUGGCAAUUCGGAACCGAAGAUACAGAGGAAUAUGGAAGUGAACAAUGAGCUAGAGGGCAUUGUUAAGUUUCUGGGAUCCUAUUCCCAUCCCAUGCCUGUUUUGUCACUGUUGUUGAGAAGAAAAGGGAAUGAAAUUUACAUUUGUGCUGCAUGUGGCAUUCUGGUAGAUGAGAAAAGAAUUCUAUUUCUUUACAAGCUAUCAAUUGAAGAGCCAAGAAUAGGAUGUCCAUGCUUUGUUGGUCACACACCAGUGACCUGGCCAUCUUCAACAGAUAUCUUUGGUAGAGAAAUUGCAUUUGAAAGAUCUGGUAUGCAACUCGCCCCAGAUGGGCAGCAUCUUGUUUUACUUGGCAGCACAAGAACACCCCAUUGCAGGGAAGGAAGAUUAGAUUGUAUGUGCUCAACAUGUACAUCAGACUGCUUUGAGAACAGUGCAGUGAAGAUUGUUGAAGUAAAAUCUGGAUAUGUUUCAGUUCUACUAAAAUUGAGAACAACUGACAAUUUGCAAUGCAUAUUGGUUUGUGAACCUGACCAUCUAGUUGCUGCUGGGGAAAGUAGGAGACUGCAUCUGUGGACCAUGAAUUCAAGUUGGAGGUGAAUUUAUUGAGGCAAUUUUAAUCUAGUUUUACUUCAAUUCUUUCAGGCAUUGUGGUGGCCUUGUUUGUCUUAUUGGUAUAUUCCAAAUGUUUUAGUUUAAGCUAUUUUUCUUAUUGCAUUUAUCCUGUACCAUAGUCCAACUCUUUGUUUACUUGUUUUUUUGUCUCCUUUAUGAUACUGCACUAAUAUGCGAUUCAUAUUGGAAAUAGCUUCCUUACACUCACUUUUGCUUGUUUCUGCUACCCCUCCAACAUAUGAUCACACCUAUGUUUUUGUUUUUCUGAUUCUGAGCUUUGUGUAGGACAAUUUGGGUUAUGCUUGAGGGACACAAAUAUUUCAAUGUCUGGCUUCUUUUUUUUUUGAGCUUCAUAACUCGUUUGAGAAUUUUGGAUAGAUUGUUUUCAUUUGAAUAGAUAAAUCUGUGAAAAUUUCCAGUCCAGUCCAGUAGAUCAGUCCUUGCAAAAAUAGAGUGAAAGGCCAUCAAGUGGGUUCCCAGAUGUUCUCUAUUUGCCACUUCCUUGUCAAGUCAAUAGAUAAGAGAGAAUAAGUGAGCUAGAGACAAGAGAAGAGAUUCCCUUACCUUGUUGUCUUGAUAUAUUUAUAGGAGUAAGGCACACUUGGCAAUGUUGCAAAUUCAUCAUUUCCCUUGGUUUUGGAAGGGAUAUCUCAAAACGUAACUUUGUCUCAAGGUUCUCUGCUCCAAGCCCUUCAGUUCAUCAAUUCUGUCCUAUCAGUUUGUUUAGUUGGCAAAGAGAAGUCCAUGGUUUCAGUUACUCUAAUGUUGAAGCUCACAUAAAUAGGCCCAUGGAUGCAACAAAAUUAUGGUUUUCAGAGCACAGCAAGAGCCAUACUUUUCCUCCUUUAGAGGGUGAAGAUAUCGCCAUCUGGUUUCUUGUCUCAACUGUCCAUGACUCUGAUGCUCAACAUGACUAUGAUUCAACUGAUCGCCAUAUAAAUCCGGUUGGAUGCUGGAGGCUAGCUCUACUGGUGAGAAAUAAAAUUAUCUUGGGCAGCACAUUGGAUACAAGGUGCCUAUUUUUAUUUAAUUUUUUAUAAGUUUAAAGUUGGUUCCUUGUUUAAAAGUUGCAUUGUGUUUUUGGUGUUAGAUCAAAACAUCCAAACUGCCAUUUUAGACAGUUAAUGUGAUAUCACUGUACUUUUCCUCUCUGGCUUUUGCUGAAAAUGGUUUGAUAAGUUGCAAACAAAAAACAUAAUAUAGAAUGCAGCACUUGAUUGCAGUUAUGAUAAAACUAUUUGUGCUGAAAAAUGGAUUUAUUUACUUAUUGCUGAAUCUGCAGAAGUUAUUUCAUGUAUCUGAGGCAGAGUCGGCUGCUAAAGGUGCCAUAAGUUUUAAUUAGAAAUCACUUUGCAGGGCGGCUGCUGUCAAUACAUCAGCUGGUCAUGGAAUCAUGGGUACACUUGAUGGACUUGUGUAUAUGUGGGAAUUAUUGACGGGAAAUAAACUUGGCACUCUGCUUGAACUCAAAGGUAUACUUCAGUUUCAGUAAUCAAGGCUUUUUGUCAUAUGCUAUUCUGUGUUAUUAAAUUGAGUAGGUAACUAUCUAUGGGUAAUUAUGAGAAAUCCUCUCUAGCAUGUAUUGCAUACGCUUUCUUUACUUCAUUUUGCUAUAAUGCAUUCCAUAUCUUUUUCAUCUGGUUCAGUGAAAAUGAUCACAUUCACUGUUUCUUUGUGAUCAUAAUCUCUCUAUUUGGAAGUAGUCGAUUAAAGUUUUCACUAUUAACAUAGUUAUCCUGCACAACUUGGUACUGAUUCUUCACUAAUAACAGUGUCCAGAUUCAUUAUCGUCUGGUCAGUGAUAAUGCAUUAGUUGCUAUUUUUCUAUGUUUAAUGUGUGAUUAUUUUAAACAUUUUCCCCGUGCUGUCAGGCGGAAGUGUUUCAAGCAUUGCUACUGAUGAUUCAGGGUCAGGUGUCCUGGCAGUAGUAGAUGACAGAGGUCAGUUACUGGUGUAUCAGCAUCUCCAGUGAGUCGGUGCUAUUUUGCAAAUCAGUGAGACAAGCAAACAAGGUCCUUUCUGCUCUUCCCUGAAGAUGAUUCUCCACCGUGCUGGAGAGUGUGAUUGGUACUCUUCAAGUGAUGAACUACAAGGAUUCCCAUUGUGUUUGUUCGCAGAUUAAUAAAAAACAAGAGAAAGAAAUUCGUUUUCAUUUUAUAAGGGCAACACAUGAAACUUGAUUUUUUAUUCAGUUCAAAUAAAUACAUGAUGAAAAGUAACACUUUUAAAAUGAUUAAUGAAAGAGUCAAUUUUAUUGCAGAA